AGUGAACGCUGGCGGUAGGCCUAACACAUGCAAGUCGAACGGCAGCACAGUAAGCUUUUGCUCUUACGGUUGGCGAGUGGCGGACGGGUGACGCAUACAUCGCAUUCUACUUUUUCUUGGGUAAUUACGUAGGGCAACUUACGCUAAUACCGCAUAUAUCCUACCGCUUGAUUCAGUGGUUCUUCGGACCUUUCCCGUCUCUAUUAGCCGGUGUCGGAUCAGCUUGUUGGCUGGGUAAAGUCCCACCAAGGCAACGAUCCGUAGCUGGACUGAGAGGAUGAUCAGCCACACUGGAACUGAGACACGGUCCAGACUCCUACGGGAGGCAGCAGUGGGGAAUAUUGGACAAUGGGCGAAAGCGUGAUGCAGCAAUGCCGCGUGGGUGAAGAAGGCCUUCGGAUUGUAAAGCCCUUUUAUUGGGAAAGAAAAAAAGCAGGUGAAAACACGGAUGUUAUGACGGUACCCAAAGAAAAAGCAACGGCUAACUACGUG
rnacentral:rRNA from 1 species